UACGUAGGGUGCAAGCGUUAAUCGGAAUUACUGGGCGUAAAGCGUGCGCAGGCGGUGAUGUAAGACAGAUGUGAAAUCCCCGGGCUCAACCUGGGAACUGCAUUUGUGACUGCAUCGCUGGAGUAUGGCAGAGGGGGGUGGAAUUCCACGUGUAGCAGUGAAAUGCGUAGAGAUGUGGAGGAACACCGAUGGCGAAGGCAGCCCCUGGGCCAAUACUGACGCUCAUGCACGAAAGCGUGGGGAGCAAACAGG
rnacentral:rRNA from 1 species